rnacentral:rRNA from 1 species
CGAGUUUGAUCCUGGCUCAGAUUGAACGCUGGCGGCAGGCCUAACACAUGCAAGUCGAGCGGCAGCACUUCGGGUGGCGAGCGGCGGACGGGUGAGUAACACGUAGGAAUCUACCUAGUAGUGGGGGAUAGCCCGGGGAAACUCGGAUUAAUACCGCAUACGCUCUACGGAGGAAAGGGGGCUUCAGCUCUCGCUAUUAGAUGAGCCUGCGUCGGAUUAGCUAGUUGGUAGGGUAAAGGCCUACCAAGGCUACGAUCCGUAACUGGUCUGAGAGGAUGAUCAGUCACACUGGAACUGAGACACGGCCCAGACUCCUACGGGAGGCAGCAGUGGGGAAUAUUGGACAAUGGGGGCAACCCUGAUCCAGCCAUGCCGCGUGAGUGAUGAAGGCCCUAGGGUUGUAAAGCUCUUUUGUGCGGGAAGAUAAUGACGGUACCGCAAGAAUAAGCCCCGGCUAACUUCGUG